rnacentral:tRNA from 1 species
GCCCACAUAGCUCAGUUGGUAGAGCACGUCCUUGGUAAGGACGAGGUCAUCGGUUCAAUCCCGAUUGUGGGCUCCA